UACGUAAGGGGCAAGCGUUGGUCCGGAAUCACUGGGCGUAAAGCGGCACGUAGGCGGUUUAGCAAGUUGGGGGUGUAAGCUCUAGGCUUAACCUAGAAAUUGCCUCCAAAACUACUUCACUUGAGUAUUAGAGGGGAAGCUGGAAUUCACGGUGUAGCGGUGAAAUGCGUAGAUAUCGUGGAGAACACCCGUGGCGAAGGCGGGCUCUGGCUAAUGGACUACGCUGAGGUG
rnacentral:rRNA from 1 species